rnacentral:lncRNA from 1 species
UGAUAUUCUUCAUGGUGGCGUCGUGGAUUUGGCGUGAUUUACGGCGGUUCGUGGAUUCGGAUCGUGGGCUCGUGGAUUCGAGUGGCGUUCGUGGAUUCGGACGUGUGCGAGGCGUUCGUGGAUUCGAACGUGAGGGCGUGGACAACCCGGAGGAUUGCGCGAGAUUUAUAGGAGGUUAAGAGAGGUUGAGUCCGUGUAGUCGGUAAUCACCUUGUAAUCUUUUCUCUUAGUGAAUUAUUUUUUCGCGUGU